CCCUGAUAAUUUGUGGUAGGUUUCUUUAUUUUUUGAAUAUAAAGUGACAGAAAUAAUUUGCCAUUAGAAAAGAGAAAGAAUCUUUGACUAUUUACAGCUUUUAUACAUCACAAAGUUUUUCUUGUUUUUAUGUUGUCUUUUUUUUUAAUUCAUUUUAAUUUUUGUUCCUGCAUCAUUUGAACAAGUCCAAACUGGAAAUCUAUACAUCUCACAAAAAAGCCCUCCACCCAAAAGACCCCCCCACCCCCACCCAAUCCCAAUGAGAAACAAGAUAAAUCAAAAGAAUGAAAUCAACUUAUUUCUUUUUUUAAAGGUAAGUCAUUUGCUUAUAUAUAUACUUGUAAGUAUUUUUUUUAAGUUCAAACACCAAAAUCCAAGAGAGAAAGGAAAAAAUUAAAAGACCCAGUCAUCCACCCCUCCCCCCACUCCAGAAUCUCAAUUGAUCCCUGCAUGUCUAAAAUAAGAAAUAUAUAUUUACAUAAAACAAAAAACAAAACAAACAAAAAAAGAACUUAGAGGUGGAUGGGCUGGAGAUCUGAGUCAAGAGGAAGGCGAGCCAGCCCCGGGGAGGAGGGUGGGCUCGGGGCCUCACAGAGUCAAGGCAAGCCUGAGUCGUCUGCACUUUCCCUGGGCAGGGGGGCUCCAUGGGGGGAAAGCUGUGACCAUUUCCCCUCCACUAUAUGACUUUGGGAGGGUGUGGCUUAGCCAGUGCAACCCAACCCACUGUGGAUGUGUUUUUUCUUUCCAUCCUCACCCCCUCACUCACACACAUGCAUGCACACAGGCGCACACCCACCUGUGCACCAGCCAUUGUGGCUAAGUGUUGUCAUGAGGGAGCACUGGCUCCUGUCAAGUGGAGGAAAAGAGAUUGCCCUGGGGACAAGAUCUCCUUGACCCCUCCUGUCUCUUCUCUGAUAUCUAUUGUCAUAUGCCAGCUAGCUCACUGACAAGUAUCCAUGAACAUCAGGGCUACUUGGAAGUAUGAAUGCUGGAAUGGUCAUUGGGUAACAUAGCUCUGAUGAAGAUUCCCUCUCCUCUAUCAAUUUUGCCUCUACUUCACACAAAUUUUCUUAACUAACAGUUGUGCCUAAUUAGCCCAGUGGGAGACAGCUUGAAGCAAGGUAAGUACCAGGUAGAGUAAAUAGACACCAUGUUGUUUUCUGCUCACUUUUGCAAAAGGUUGGGUUCCUGCAGGUCAGAAAGCAAAGGUGGGUCAUGACAAAACCAUCUCUGGCUUCCUUUGCUUCCCUCUGCCUUCCUAAAUGGACUUCGCUUGGUCCUCGGUGCAUAAAGCAUAUAAGCCCUUGAGUUGGUUGUAAUACGCUUCCAACACAGGAGCUCAAGAGAAGGCAUUAGAUGUGCCUGAAUGAACACCAGCUAAUCUUUGGGGGAAAAUGCCAGGCAGGACGUAACCACACUGCAGGGGGGUGGAGUUGGGCAGAGAACCACCAGCAGCCAUGUUGUGAUCUCUUUCGUGCUCUGUUCAAGAUUCUAUGGGGUUCAGGGGCCUAGUCCAUGAGAAAUGGCUGAACAGGUUUUGUCUCUUUGCAAAUUACAAUUUUUAAGAGCACACAAAAUAAAGCAGAAUCAGCUCAUCAUCUAUGUCAGAAGUGUGUGAAGUGCUCCUGGGGGUGGACUCUAGUUUGCUCUCACUAAAUCUCCAAAUGCCUACACAGUGGACAUUUUUUUCCUUACCUCCCUUGGCCAAAUUUCUUAUUUUUUUCCAGGAGUUUCCCCAAAGUCCUCGUUUGUUCCCUUUCAUGUGGCUACACUCAAAAUCCUUUCUUUCCUAAACCCUCUCCUGAUCUUCCAAAAUUCUCACCGUAAAGGUUUGAAGACUUUAAUUUUCUAUUGCUCCUGUCUCACUGUUCCUCUCUCACACAAAAGAAAAUACUAAAUAAAAAUGACCAGUCAGAAGAACCUUUCAUUUCACAGAAUUGGGUAGAGGCUAAGCUGCUUUUCAGUCCUUUAGGUUUUUUCCAAAGAUAAACAAGGAGUAAGGUAAGUAAGAACAAAGAAUUAAAAUUCCUCCAUAGAGACCAACUUAGGCAGAAACCUUUAAAAUAGAAAAGGCAAGAUUUACUGUGAAAAUAUGUUCUUUCCAGGAUAAAUAAUCAAAACACAGUGCAGGACUACACUUAAUAACAUUUAUAAACAUUUGUGGUAGCUCACCUAUCACAGAUGGCAGUGGUGCUUCUGAUGGAAAAGCAAACAUCACAUGGACGAUGAGGCACGAGAGUUCCUCAUGCUGCUGGUAGAGCCCUACCCCCAGUGCUUUGCAGCCUUCCCACCUCAGUCAGACAAAGUCCUUCAGAACCAGCCUGGACUAACCAUGAGCCUUGCUUAGCACAUGAGAAGCCCAGGUCAGUUGAAUUUCUUAUAUCACUUAGACUUUCAUUUUCAAGUGCCCAAAUACAUCCCCCAUCUGAGCGUGUUUCCCAUCCCUUACUGACUCCUCAAAUCCUUUCCAUGGUUUGCCAUCAGUCACACACCCUGAUUUUCUUCCACCCUCCUGACCCCUCCCUGGGGUCCCUGAAGCCAUCUUGAGUAUUAGGCAUCUGCCCUCACACAUUUUUCACAGCAUUAGGCCUGCAGAUGGAAUGGGUCCCUUCCUUGUUCAUCACUGUCACUUCCAGACUGUCUUCCCAUCCUCUUCCUUAAAAACCACACAUGAACAAUAAAAUCCACCUGGAAACACAUCAGAUGAUAUUAGCUGUUCUUCCUUACUUAAUGCAAGAGUUAAAAUAUUCUUGAAUUUCUCUCCCUAAGUCCUGUCGUAAUAUACACCCAUAUCAUGCACAAGUCAGCAUUUUUGUUGACUGCAAUAUCUAUGUAAACAAUCCUUCCCAUAUCUUGGCCUCUCAGUUCCUUGAACUCUGCUCCUUCCAUAACUUUUUCCUCCCUUACUCAGCCCACCACCACCACAAGAGACCCCAAAGCACUUCUCUCUUAGUAACCUCAACUCCUCCACCAUCCUAACUCCAUGCAACCGGCCUCAGACUCAGCUCCUAAUUUCUAGAUUACUCUUUCUGGGACUCUGACUCAAUAAUUUGGUAACCUCUGCCUUUAUUGCAGUCUCUGGCCCCCAGCCUUCUUCAAUAUUUCACAUUUUAAAAAACUCCUCACUUUCCUCCUCAUCCUGCUUAGACUCCGUGGCUAAUCAUGAUCAUUGUUACAUCGCACUUGCUCUUAACUCCCUAUCUCCAACUGCUUUCACUGCAUUCACUUGUUUAAACCCAAACCUGAAACCUAACUUGCUGUCUAAGCAGAAUUUGAUGGAAGAAUACUUCUUAAAUUUCUUAAAACUCAAGGCUACGAACCUCAAGCAUGCUUCCUACAUUUUUUCAUAACUCCAUUCUUCCUGCUAGAUGGUAAUAUGCCUAAUUCAUUGCUGUUUCUCUUCUUAAAGCUCCAGGACUUACCCUAAUACUCAUUCUUAGCUCACGAAUUCCAUUAGUUCACCACUGAAAAUGUCAUCAAUCAGAAAAGCAUACUUCCACAUUUAUCAACCUACUUGCCCAAUUACAGCAUCUCUCAUCUAUUACUGAAAAACACCUAGUUGGGCUUCUAAAGCCAGUCUCUUCAUUUGUGCAUUGGAUCCAACCCCAUUUGACCUCAUCAAAGACAUUACUCCAGCAAUUGUUCCCUCUCUCUAAAAAUUAUCUUCCAUCUCUACUGUAUCGUGCUGGACAGCAUAAAAUGGGCUAUUUAUCCCAUUUUAAAAAUAUUUCUUGAACCCUGCGUAAUCCUCCAUUGCUAUCUCUGUGUCCUCUUUACAACAGAGAUCCUAAAAAGAAUUGCCUAUUCAUGUUGGCACCACUUCCUCUCCUGAAACUCUCCUUUGAACCAUCCUUGUUAUGUUUUUUACCCACAGUCCCCUACACACUGUCUUCCAGGUCACCAGUGGAAUGAGAUCCAUGUUUCCUGGGGGUGCUAUUCACUCACUGUUGCCAGUUGAUUCAUCUCUGGGGCUCUGACUGUUCCCAGGGUUCAAUAUGGGAAUUCUCUUCCACCUGCAUUAAUUUCUUAGAUCCAGUCUCAUGGCUUCAAACACCAUCUUUAUACACUUGUACCCCAGCACCUAGAGCAAACUGGCAUGGAGCUUUCAUUCAAUUCAUAUCCUUGCAUGGAUUAAGUCAUCUUUCCAAACAGGCUCUGAAACCACAGGCCUAAUCCCUCCAAAGUAAGGGUAAGAGUAACACUAAACAAAAAAGCAAAACAGCAAAAUUCAAAAACUAAACAAAACCCAAGCAACCAAAAUCCCCCAAAGCAAAGAAACAACCUGGUUGAGUUCUUUAACCAAAUUUCUAAAUGGCAAGGACAGAGCUCACUUGCCACGCUCCUUUUCUUAUGUGAACAUUGUCUUUGAGUUUAUUAUCAUUUUUUUAAAUGUUUAAGACUCUCCUUAAGCAGUUGGUACCUGUCCCUUUUCUCCUUUGUUGCUUUCCUCCCAAAUCCCUUAUGGCUACAGUAGAAUUGGACUCAAUAUCUGAACUGGUUAGUUAAUGUUUUAGUCUUCCUAAUUUGCUAAGAACAUACCAUCUACCACCCAUUAACGGUAUUUCAUAGCUUAAAAGAUCAUGUCUGAGCCAGUAAAGUCCAUGUUGAUAUGUGUAAGGCUUUGGAUUAAAUCAAUCUGUAAAUGUUUAUUUGUAAUCAAACCUACCAAUUUCCUUUCCUGAAGUAAACAGUAAUCAGAUUAGAAACCCAGUGUUUUCACUGGAGAUGGGAAGAUAUAAUUUUAUUUAAAGGAUUUUCUCUCAGAGGUGACCUAACUUUGUAAUCCGAAAUCAUUUCAAAUUUGUACCCAAAAAAAGGUUUCAACUAAUGCAACUCUAUUUCCUGAUAUGCUGUAUUCUGUUCUCUCAGUGCCCUUUGGCUUCUCCAAUUAAGUAAAUGUAAUCACAGUGAGUAUGCGGCUCUUCUAUCUGAAUAUUUUUUGACUGGAGAAUGGAAAUCAUUUAAGAGAAGCUGCCCUAAAGGUUUAGUGGAUGGGUUUUUUGAAGAGUCAAGCUGCAUUACUUAUCAGUCUUCCUGGAAGAAAGCCUAUGCCUCUCUCUAAAGUUAGUCUGUCAUCAUUUUGGAGCAGUCAAUGGCAGCACAGUUUCUCCUGCCAGACCCUAUAGGUAGGGACAAACUUUCUAGGGGUAACUCAGAGCACCUGGAUGUGAGCAUUAUUGUUUCUUUACCUCCAACCCCUCCUUGUUUGUUUCUAGGUAUUUCUCACCUCAGUGAAGAAAGAGCAUAUUUUAGAAUAAAGCUUUAUGCCUGCUUGUCACUGAAUCUAUUUCCCAUUCUAAUUUCUCUUUCUCAUUCGAGAAGGUACAUUCCAUUAAUGGUUAAAAAAGUAACACGAAAUGACUCAUGGCCUGAGAUGUUUAGAAACACUUGCUUCUUAUGACCCUAGGACCAAGGAGAGUCAAGGAUAGUGUUCAGUCACCACUAUACUCCAAGUAAAACCUGUGCAUCUUGAAAACCCAGAGAGAGAGAGAGAGAGAGAGAGAGAGAGAAGGAGGGAGAGAGAGAGAGCAGAAAUGCUUCCACAGGCACAACAGACAUCUUGACCAAAGCUGUUGUGCACACUCUCACAGAUGUUGCUUAAUAUUCCAGAGCACACCUUUCUCCUUGAGCAGAACCAUGCGCUCUCAUUGGAGGACACUUACUAUCUCAGCACUUGACCUUGAGUUGGAGCAUCUGGGAACAAGGUCCUGUUUGUUUACUUAUUAGUUUUUCCUUCUCCAGCCAUCUUUCCCAGUUAAAAAAAAGUAAGGAAAAAACCAUGAGAAAUUAUCAUGAUCCUUUUUUUUAACAAUAUAAUAGUUUAGAUAAAAAUUCAGUUUAAGGAAUAUACUCACCCAUAAUAGGCGGAGAAGGUGGGGACAGGAAGCAAAGCUAAGAAGGGGAACCAGGAAAACUGCCAAGAGCCUGGGAGGUGAGGAAGAAUUUCCAUGAAAGAAAUGUGGAAAGCUCUUCUCAACUAUUAGACCCAGUUUGGAAUGGCUAAACACAUAGGUAUUUUGGACACUUUCCUGCUUAGAUAGCCUUCUGUCCUGUACCAACCACUGAAAUUCAUCUUGCAAUCGUGGCUUCCAGGAGAGGAAAAUGCCUCAAAGAACAGGUGGUCUCCGAACAGAGAGUACAAUUCCCAAAGACUAUCGGGAUGAAAUGGAACAUGCUGACUGUACUCAUUCUUCAUGAAUUUGCAUUCCAGAGUUUGCCACUAGGAUGUUUGGUGAUAAUCAGGUAGAUUUCUUCACCAUGUAGUAAUGGAAAAGAAAGAAAAAAGGAAAGCAGAGAACAAUUGUAACUGGCCCAGAAGAUAGGAAUUUUGUUCUUGGUCUAAUUCAUCUCCCUGGAGAUAGAAGCAGCUCUAGCAUAUUGGUGAGCAGAAGAUAUUGAAGAGAACAGUGAUGUUAGGCUUAUUUCAUUGAAAGAAAGUCAAAGCUCAAUUGAGCUGGUAAAGAUCAUAAACCCAUCAACUUUCUUGAUCAGGUUACAAGUUACUGGGCAUUUAAGUUUCCCCAGGAGACUUCUCAUCAGAGACACAUUGUUGAAACUCUGGGAUAAGAGUUCCUUGUUCAUUUUGUAAACUCCAUCCAGAUAUCUGGCUUCAUCCAAUAGGCUUUAUACAAACAGGGUUAUACAUAUUAUUCUUUCAUUUAAGCUACAGAAGGAAAGAGGGGUGUGAGCUGCCCAGGUACUAAUGACCAAAGGGAAGAAAGAAAACCAUAAUAAUAUCAGGGGAAUUACAUUCUUCCCACAAAGUCAGUGGGGAGUUUAAGCUGAUGUGGUUGCAACUGCUUCAGAGAGAGCCCUAGUCUUUAAAAUUGAUGUUUUUUUCUGCUUUUCCAUAGCACCCAGACCCAUUAAUAUCUACUUAAAAUAGGAGAUACUGGUAUGGAUUUUCUUUAUAAAACUUCUUCCAUAAUGCUUCCCUGAGCUGUACUCUUGGCAGGUAGGGUUAGAGGUUAUCUUUUUCAUUUCUACUUUAAAAUCUAAUACUAAGCACAAGAGCUUUGUGGUUUCAAUUAAACAAUUCUCUGUUCAUUCUCUUAGGAGCUAUACAAAUUGUUUGUUUUUGCAGUACUGGGGAUUGAACCCAGGGCCUUCACUCUCAGACACAUCUCCAGCUCUUUAUUUUUAUUUCUUUUAUUUUUUGAGACAGGUUCUCACCAAGUUGCUAAGUUUACCAGGCUGGGCAAGACCUUGUGAUCUUCCUGUCUCAGCCUCCCAGAGCGGUGAUUUCACAGGCUUGUGCCACCAUGCCUGGCUUCCCUAUGAAUCUUAUUUCCUUGCACUGCACAUGAAUAUAGCUGUAACACAAGAAACACAUGGGUCAUCUCCAGGGAAUAAGACGUUCCAUACAUUCAUCAGCAGGUGGCCUUGUUACUUGUCAUUAAGAAGCUUCACGAUUCAGUUAUCUGUAAUGGUAUUCAUAAGAAAGAUGUAGUCACCAUGGUGUCAAAGUAGAAUAAUACGUCCCUCUUUUUGUUUUGUUUUUUUUGGUACCGGGGAUCGAACUUGGGACCUUGCACUUGCAAAGCAGGCACCAGAACCACUGAGCUAAAUCCCAGCUCCUCUAUUAUGAUAGUGGAGGCAAAGGGGCAGGAGAGAAAUGAUAUUUGCAGUUGGCUUGACUCUCAACUUUGAGCUUGAGGAAGAUUCGGGUGCCUAUCCCCUCUUCCCCCAUGCAUGGGGCUCAGUCACCUCCUCCCUCUGCCCAUGUCCUCUCCUGAAAUCAGGGCCUGGGUCAGGGCCUGGGAACUCCUGCACUGUAAAAGUGACGGGAUAAAAGGGAUUUUCCACCUUCUCACUUCUUCCCUUGCCUUUCAUCUAGGUCCAAAAUGGCGACAAAGUGACCAAAAAACAAAACAAAGAAACAGAAAACCCAAACCAACAUUAAGCUAAGAUCCUCUUUUCAUUGUUCUUGAUAUAAGCAGAAUCCUCUGUGAAUGGACCAAAAUUUGUUCUGUGGCACGAACGAAAGAUACUCCCUUUUUGGAAAGAUGGAAUGUUUCCUGUUAGCCAUACAUGAGUGCAGGGUGGAUUGGAUAAACCCUCAGGUGGUAGCUGCAGGAUUUCCUGGUCUACAAUGAUUAAAGAAUUUACCAUUACAAUUUUGGGGCAAAAUUAAGGUAUUACAAGUAUUCUCAGCAGAUCUUUGGAAUGUUCGUGUUUCCUUCACGAUUUAGGUGGCAAAUAAUUAUUUAUUAUGGGUCUGGGGGGUAUAGGUCCUUCCUUUGGAAGUUCAUUGUGUAUCUGAACUUCCUGUUAUUUCUGCUUAUGUUUCCAGAAUCUAUUCAUACUUUAACAUUGGAAGCAAGCUUGCUCUAUUUCAACUUGACUAAAUGACAUGGAGGUAUGUAGAAGAAUCUAAGAAGUUCUCCCUUGAGGUAGCCUGGCUCGCCAUGGGCUGAUCCAAACUGACACUGCCAGUGUCCUAACUGCCCUGAACACAUCCCUGGAGUUUCUGGCCCCAAGUAACAUCCUGCAAAAAAGACCUUCUGUCUCAGAUUUUUCUUGAGCUUUUUAUUUGUGUGGUUUACAUGCUACAUAAAAAAUUUUAAUGAUAAAAAAUUAUUCACAAUGUCUUACUCCACAAAAUGCAAAUGAUUUUAUUUAAACUGCCACUUUUCUUCAUUACAGAAAACUUUCCUUUCUGGUUUCAAAUUUUUUGCUUUCUUAUUGCCCUUUUUGACUGGUCUCUUGAUUCAUAUGGUGUGUGCGUGUGUGUGUGUGCAUGUGUGUAUGUAGGGGGAAGGAAAUCCAUGAAAAAAAUAUUUAAAAGAUUUGGCUAAAUAAGCUGCCUGGGUUUCAUAAAUUUUUCCAUGUUGAAAACUUAGGUUGGUACACAAUUCCGGCAACAUUACUUCUUGUUUUGGACUGAGAGUUAAAAUUUCCAACAAGUUAUGAUUCUGGCAAGAAUUUUCAAUAUAACUUUUUUUACUUAUCUAAUUCUUCUGACCUGAAACCUUUUCAUGUAUAAAAUUAAAAACCAUCAUAUUUCCAUGUCAAAGAAGGCCAUUUGGAAAAAUGAUGAUGGUCAAUUCUCCCAUAUCUACGUACCAGCUAGAGUGGUACCUUGGUUCAUGAACUUAAUUCUUUCCAUAAUUCUGGUCACAGAAUUCAUUCAAGGAUUAAUUUGGUUGCAACCAGAAUCAUGGAACAAAUUCUGCAACCAGAAUCAUGGAGAGAAUUAAGUUCGUGAACUGAGGUACCACUGUAUUUUAAUUUACUCAGAAUAUGCCACAGGCUAGUGAUGGCAGUGGCCUCAGGAGGCUGCUGGUGAUCUUAGAAACUCCCUCCUUCUCCAAGGAGGGCAGGCUGAGCCAGGCUAGAAAAUGUCACAGCUUUGUAACAUGAGAAUGAGGUUAAGAAUUCUUAAGAAAUGGCCCUUCACUGUUGUUUGUGAUCCAUGUCUUUUGCUUGCUCUUAGGAAGUAACCGAAGUAAAUGCUCUGACCAUUGAAAGUGUCCAGAAGCCUCAGGAAUAAUCUUGUAAUAAAAUAACUCUCUUUUCUAUGGCCCAAGGUGUCCAGCUAUGUAUAGCAGGCUCCAUCUUGGUUGUUAAAAUACACUAGAAUUGAUUGACUGGGCUCUGAUUUGGAAACAUUAAAUACUGUGUGCACAUUUAAACUCUGUGGUUUCUCAAUUUCUCAUCCUAAUAUUGAGUGUGUGUGUGUGUGUGUGUGUGUGUGUGUUACUUGGAGCUAACUGGAUACAAAAAUACCCCGAGAUCUAUACACUGAGAAAGAGAAGAGAAUGCAAGAAAUGAAAAGGUAAUGAUGGAAAACACAGCUAUAAGUGCCCUGGUGGACUUCCAAUUGUAUUCAUAAUCAAAAAAGAAGUAUUUUUAACUAUUUUAUAUUUUUCUCAAGAAAAGUUCUGUUUGCCUCUUUACCCUCCCCCUUUCCUUCCUACAUGAAGUCUUGCCACUUUCCCUCUUCUUGACCCUGAGAGAAGUAGAAUGCACAAAUUACCAAUCUCACAAGACACUCAUCCCCAUUCCUGUCACGACCAAGAACAGACCUCUCUACUUCGCUCAUGUUGCUUCAAAGAGCAGAUAUGGAUACACGUGUUAUGAAAGUAUCUAAGCAACAGGACUGUCUGUUCUCAGAGAGACUGGCUUCUGCCUCUCCACCAUCUUAGCACUGAUCCGCUAAUGGGACAUCAAAAGACUGCAUGGAUUCCAAGGGUAAGAUAAGACAGUUGGCACGGUAACCAGGUCAUUCCAAUACAAAGAAUGUGCUCCCUUCAGGUAAAGCCUGCAUAUUUCUGUCAGACCUUGAGAUGUCAGCGAUCCACAGCUAGGUAGAGGAGGAGAGAAAAUACCAGAUAAAUUAUAAUAUGCCUGCCCAUAAAGUACUCAUUAAAUAUUUUUAUUACUCAUAAAGUGAUAUUAGCAAUUGGGAUGUAGUUAGGAUUGUGUGUGUGUGUGUGUGUGUGUGUGUGUGUGUGAUGAGAAGGUAUGAAAACCUUAGAAUGUUCAUGGCGAAGGGACCAUCUAAUUAGGUGCAGUUGGGCUGUAUUGGUGAAUAGAUGGAAGCAAUUAAUAAGUUGCUGAGAGCGUACCUCAGCCAGAGGCAACAGGGAGGCCUCAUCACUCAUCUGCAGGUGUCUCUUGUGUCACCUGGAAGGGGAACACUACAAUAGCCAUGAUUUCAAAAGAAAUGAUCAAUGAUAAUCCGAAUGUAACAAUGGCAGUUAACUACAUAGAUCACUCUGAAUAGGACUGAGGUUUCAGGCAGGCAUUAUUAUUAUUUUUUAGAAAAAACAUUCCUUUUGGAAACAGGUAAUAUCCUUAUCUAAGAAAGGCAAGCAUCUCGGUACAUUCCUAUUCCUGUGGUCACAUCCUCCAAAGCCCCACUCCCAUCAGAGCUCAUGAACUUCAAUUCUCUUCCUGCAAAAGGAUGUGUAGGUAGAGUUAUGACUGGUAGCUCAGACUCUGUAGGGACGAGAGGUGGAGUGUGUCCCUCCCUCUCUUCCCAAGGUAAGGAUCAAGGGCUCUUUGUGCUGUCACCAAAGAGCCUGGAUACGGACUCAGAGAAAAGCUGUGGCCAGAUGCCUUGCAAACAGCAGAGACCUCACAGAUUCGGUUGGAGUCACACCCUUACUUUCACAAGGUGGGCACAGUUCUUUCUGGACACUGUCCUGGGAAGCUGUUAUUUUCCCUGCAACUUUUAGGAUUGGAUCAAGCAAGCUACACUCCACAAGUGGGAGUGAAGGUGGCUCUCAGAAAGUGCUUUUGGCGCCUUGGAAGUGACUGCAGGAAUGGAUAUCUGGAUGCCAUCAGCUGUGGGCCUUGCUCUUUGGGAGUUUUCUACUUUCUGAAGCUGUCACCUAAGCCAGUAACCAAUGAGCUCUCAGCUUUAUUUGGACAUGAGAAGAGGCUUCAUUGCAUACUUCCUGUUUUUCCCUUCCUCCUAUGUUCCCUUAUCUAUUACAGGUACUCACAGGCAAAAACCAGACAUAAAUACUUCAUGGAUAAAACUGCAUGAGAUUUUGGUCCAACAGAGAUUCAUGAAUGUCUUUAUUUGGAGAAUAGCUGCUUAGCACCCUCCUGCUAGCUGUUACCAGACUAUUUGUUUCAUUGUUUUUUUUUUAAAAAGCCUCAUAAUCCAGUAUGAUGAAAUAUAUUUUGCUCUAAAAUGUUAACUAUCCUCAUUCUCAGGAUUGGGACUAUUAGACAUAAUUGGACUUUUGAAAAAAAAAUAUCCAUCUAGACUUACAUUUUAAAUUUUAUUAGGUAUCUCCCAAGUUGUCACAAGUUUUGCCCUAGCUUGCCAAUAAUAAUUUCUCUACCCCCAUCCCAUCUCAAUGAAGAAUGGGCUUCGUUUGCUUUUUUGAAAAAGAGACUUGUCACCGCCUGUAACUUAUUUCAGUUCAGUUUUCUAUAGUAUGCUUUAAAUUAGCACACAGUGACAGAAGAUGCUUCGCAAAGGAGAAUAAUUCAUGGCCAAUGACAUAAUGAGAUUUAUAGAGAAGGCUGGCCAGGAGAAGGAAAAAAAACAUGAUAAGUUACCAGAGCAGCUUAAGUGAAAGGACAGUACCAGCUCUGUGAGUUUCUUCAGAGAGGUGAACAGAAGCUGAUACUAACUAGAACAAAUAGAUCAGACCCACUAUGUAGAACCCAAAGACCAGGGGAAUGGUGAGCAGGGCUCAGAGACUGAAAGAAC
rnacentral:lncRNA from 1 species